rnacentral:rRNA from 1 species
UUUGGUAAUGAUGGCGGAAGGGAACCACACGUUCCCAUCUCGAACACGAUCGUUAAGCCUUCCAGCGCCAAUGGUACUUAGAUCGCAGGAUCUUGGGAGAGUAGGACGUUGCCAAGC